GUGACAGCCCCGUACACAAAAAUGCACAUAUUGUGAGCUCGAUGAGUAGGGCGGGACACGUGGUAUCCUGUCUGAAUAUGGGGGGACCAUCCUCCAAGGCUAAAUACUCCUGACUGACCGAUAGUGAACCAGUACCGUGAGGGAAAGGCGAAAAGAACCCCGGCGAGGGGAGUGAAAAAGAACCUGAAACCGUGUACGUACAAGCAGUGGGAGCCUCUUAAUGGGGUGACUGCGUACCUUUUGUAUAAUGGGUCAGCGACUUAUAUUCUGUAGCAAGGUUAACCGAAUAGGGGAGCCGAAGGGAAACCGAGUCUUAACUGGGCGUUAAGUUGCAGGGUAUAGACCCGAAACCCGGUGAUCUAGCCAUGGGCAGGUUGAAGGUUGGGUAACACUAACUGGAGGACCGAACCGACUAAUGUUGAAAAAUUAGCGGAUGACUUGUGGCUGGGGGUGAAAGGCCAAUCAAACCGGGAGAUAGCUGGUUCUCCCCGAAAGCUAUUUAGGUAGCGCCUCGUGAAUUCAUCUCCGGGGGUAGAGCACUGUUUCGGCAAGGGGGUCAUCCCGACUUACCAACCCGAUGCAAACUGCGAAUACCGGAGAAUGUUAUCACGGGAGACACACGGCGGGUGCUAACGUCCGUCGUGAAGAGGGAAACAACCCAGACCGCCAGCUAAGGUCCCAAAGUCAUGGUUAAGUGGGAAACGAUGUGGGAAGGCCCAGACAGCCAGGAUGUUGGCUUAGAAGCAGCCAUCAUUUAAAGAAAGCGUAAUAGCUCACUGGUCGAGUCGGCCUGCGCGGAAGAUGUAACGGGGCUAAACCAUG
rnacentral:rRNA from 1 species